CAUCAUUGCAUCAUGCAAUCUAACAGACCUUGUCCAGGAAGCAACAAAAUGACACAUUCCUUUUGAUUAUAAAGAUAAAAGGAUCGGUACUUGGAAUAGGGGGUGUGGAAUUGUUAUAGUCCAAAAAGGGGGAAAUAGGGUAAAGGAAUAUACAUAUAUUUGUGUGUGUAUCCUUGAAAGCUUGCAGCAUACGUUGAGCAUACGUUGCCUUUAGAUAUUCCACAAUGUCAGCACUUUCAAACAUCUGGACCCCAGUAUUUGGAUCUUCCAAAUAUGG
rnacentral:misc_RNA from 1 species